GGAAAAUGCUUGAUGAACUCUCAUCAGCAAUUGCGUGCCGAGCACUGCGCGCGCUAUAAAAAUAACUCGCAGGGUCUGAGAACGGAGAAAUUCAUGUAGAAGAAGAGAGAGAUUCUACUGUCUGACGAAGAACCCCACGAAAGGAGCAAAAAUGAAAUACUGUUCUCAAUGGUGGAUGCUAUCAUUGGCAAUUCUACUUUUGACCAUAUCCGUUCAUGCCUCGCAAGCUCUUCUAAGAAAUGAAAAUGGGGUGAAAACUGCCGUCUUCUUAUCCCCUGCAUUUGUGCUAGGACCGGGAUCUGUGGAGGACAAAUUCUACUACAAUGUCGACUUCCCAAGAGGCCACAUUGCUGUCAAGGACUUCAAUGCUGAAGUAGUUGAUGAGGCGGGGAAUCCUAUCCCACUUCAUGAGACUUAUCUCCACCAUUGGGUCAUGUUUAAAUACUAUAGUCGCACUUCUGCUGUGGAUCUGGAUAUCGCCAGUGGUCAGGAGCUUCACCUGUCUAAGUUUAUUUUUGCAAGGAAUGCCGGAGUUUGCCAGGGAACUAUGCUUGGGCAGUACUAUGGCCUUGGGUCGGAAACACGCCGGACUUCCACGUUCGUGCCAGACCCUUAUGGUAUAGAGGUCGGUAAUCCUGCCGAAAUUCCAAAUGGGUAUGAGGAGAGGUGGUUUCUGAAUGUCCAUGCAAUCGAUACGCGGGGUGUGGUUGAUCGGAUGGGGUGCACGGAGUGCAGGUGCAAUCUUUAUAAUGUGACGGAGGAUUCAUACGGCAGGCCUUUGAGAAAGGAUUACACCGGCGGUCUUAGUUGUUGCUAUGAUCAGGCACAGUGUAGGGUGAGAGAAGGCAUUGAUCAUGUGAAGAGAAAGCUCUACUUGAGAUACACGGUUAAGUGGGUUGACUGGGAUGACAGCAUCGUGCCUGUCAAGAUAUACAUAUUCGAUGUCACAGAUUCUGGGAAGAGGGAAAAUUCAACCAAAGAAAAUGCUCUAAUCGGUUGCCGGGUUGAAUACAACGUUGAGCCAUGUGGUGCUGCAGGCAUGGACAAAGGCCUUUGUGUAGAUACCAAAAAGACAAAUGUGGUUAUGCCUCGUGGGGGCAAUAUUAUCUACGGGGUGGCCCAUCAGCAUUGGGGUGGAAUUGGCGGUACUGUUUAUGGACAGGAUGGCCGAGUUAUAUGCUCUUCAAUACCAAUCUAUGGAAACGGGAAAGAAGCAGGGAAUGAGGAUGGCUACAUUGUCGGGAUGUCCACUUGCUAUCCUAAGCCAGGGUCUGUUAAAAUUGCAGAUGGCGAGGUUUUUGACUUUUGAAUCGAAUUAUAGCAGCACCCAAAUGCAUACUGGAGUCAUGGGCCUCUUCUACAUCUUAGUAGCAGAUCCGCCACGCAAGAACAUCUUAUCCUCGCGCUUUCCAGCUCAGGAUAGCAUAGAGUUCUCUAAGUAUACAUGGGCAGUGGUUUUGUGGGCAUGACGCUUGUUCUGGUGAUUGCUGCUGUUAGCUAUCGAAGAAGAACAAAUGAGAAAGACGGAGGCUACCAGCCCAUUGUGUAAUGUAAUAUCGUUUCAUGUAAUAUGAUACAACUACCUCUACAGACACAAGUGCAAGGCCGUUAUUUAGCUUUGUAAGAUGGUAUGCAGCAGAUAGCAAUAAAAGGUACUACGUUUUUCUUUCUUCA